GAUGAACGCUGGCGGCGUGCCUAAUACAUGCAAGUCGAGCGAACAGACGAGGAGCUUGCUCCUCUGACGUUAGCGGCGGACGGGUGAGUAACACGUGGAUAACCUACCUAUAAGACUGGGAUAACUUCGGGAAACCGGAGCUAAUACCGGAUAAUAUAUUGAACCGCAUGGUUCAAUAGUGAAAGACGGUUUUGCUGUCACUUAUAGAUGGAUCCGCGCCGCAUUAGCUAGUUGGUAAGGUAACGGCUUACCAAGGCAACGAUGCGUGGCCGACCUGAGGGGGGGGUCGGCCACACUGGAACUUGGACACGGUCCAGGCUCCUACGGGAGGCAGCAGUAGGGAAUCUUCCGCAAUGGGCGAAAGCCUGACGGAGCAGCGCCGCGUGAGUGAUGAAGGUCUUCGGAUCGUAAAACUCUGUUAUUAGGGAAGAACAAAUGUGUAAGUAACUAUGCACGUCUUGACGGUACCUAAUCAGAAAGCCACGGCUAACUACGUG
rnacentral:rRNA from 1 species